rnacentral:rRNA from 1 species
AGCGUAGGCGGAUAGUUAAGUCAGAGGUGAAAGCCCAGGGCUCAACCUUGGAAUUGCCUUUGAUACUGGCCAUCUUGAGUAUGGGAGAGGUUAGCGGAACUCCGAGUGUAGAGGUGAAAUUCGUAGAUAUUCGGAAGAACACCAGUGGCGAAGGCGGCUAACUGCCCAUUACUGACGCUGAGGCUCGAAAGCGUGGGGAGCAAACA